rnacentral:lncRNA from 1 species
CCCAAUUAAUACCUGACCCAUAAGAAAACUCUCAAUUUAACAAAAAAAUGUUUUCCUUGCCCUACAUCUCAAAACUGCUCUGUCUCAUUCUUCUUCUUUGGGACUCUGCCUCUUCGUUAUCUUCAUCUUCAUUUCAUUCAUUACGUUAGAUUUCGUCCGACGGUGAAGCCUGGAAGUUGCAGAUUUUUUCUUUUUCUUUUUUUUUUCUUUUAAAAAAAAAAAAAAAUCAGCCUCUCGAACCAGCGGGCAGUAACUGGCGGUAUACCUUCGGCAAUCGGUGAUCAGCUGCUGCAAAACUCUCAACAGGUGUUAAUCAGAUGCAUUUUAUGCUGUAUUAUGCAUUUUAUUGAUGUAUUCGAUUUGCCUGGACCACCACAUGUUUUCACGAAACAAAGAUGAAUUUCUCUAAUUUUAUACAAAACCAAACCACCACUUGUUUUCACAGAAAAGAUUUAAUUUCUCUAAUUUUGUACAGAUUUAAAAUCGACAAUGUGGUUUUUCUUGAUUUAUACAAUUUCUUUUUGUUGAUGGACCGAAGAACUUGAGGUAUUUUUGGAAAUGGCUUCUUUUUGUUGAUGGAUUUUGUAGCCCAGAGAUUUCUGUUCAAUGGGUAUGCAUGUGGUUUUCUUGAUUUUUUUGUAGUUCAUCUGAAUGUUUACAAGAUUUGACAAAGUCUUCAUUCUGGGUUCUGACCUUGAUGUUGAUAUGAGGCUAGUUUUGUUUUUAAGGGAUUCUAAAUCUUUUUAUCUGUUUGAUUGGUUGACGUUAAUGGUUUUAAGAAAUUGUGUAGUUGACAAUUUAUUAUUGUCCUCUCAUAUAUGUGUGUGUGUUUAUA